GGUGGCGACCGGCGCACGGGUGAGUAACGCGUAUGCAAGUUACCUAUCAGAGGGGGAUAACCCGGCGAAAGUCGGACUAAUACCGCAUAAAGCAGGGAUCCCGCAUGGGAAAUUUGCUAAAGAUUCAUCGCUGAUAGAUAGGCAUGCGUUCCAUUAGGCAGUUGGCGGGGUAACGGCCCACCAAACCGACGAUGGAUAGGGGUUCUGAGAGGAAGGUCCCCCACAUUGGUACUGAGACACGGACCAAACUCCUACGGGAGGCAGCAGUGAGGAAUAUUGGUCAAUGGGCGUAAGCCUGAACCAGCCAAGUCGCGUGAGGGAUGAAGGUUCUAUGGAUCGUAAACCUCUUUUAUAAGGGAAUAAAGUGCGGGACGUGUCCCGUUUUGUAUGUACCUUAUGAAUAAGGAUCGGCUAACUCCGUGCCAGCAGCCGCGGUAAUACGGAGGAUCCGAGCGUUAUCCGGAUUUAUUGGGUUUAAAGGGUGCGUAGGCGGCCUUUUAAGUCAGCGGUGAAAGUCUGUGGCUCAACCAUAGAAUUGCCGUUGAAACUGGGGGGCUUGAGUAUGUUUGAGGCAGGCGGAAUGCGUGGUGUAGCGGUGAAAUGCUUAGAUAUCACGCAGAACCCCGAUUGCGAAGGCAGCCUGCCAAGCCAUGACUGACGCUGAUGCACGAAAGCGUGGGGAUCAAACAGGAUUAGAUACCCUGGUAGUCCACGCAGUAAACGAUGAUCACUAGCUGUUUGCGACACACAGUAAGCGGCACAGCGAAAGCGUUAAGU
rnacentral:rRNA from 1 species